rnacentral:rRNA from 1 species
GAUGAACGCUGGCGGCGUGCCUAAUACAUGCAAGUCGAGCGAACAGACGAGGAGCUUGCUCCUCUGACGUUAGCGGCGGACGGGUGAGUAACACGUGGAUAACCUACCUAUAAGACUGGGAUAACUUCGGGAAACCGGAGCUAAUACCGGAUAAUAUAUUGAACCGCAUGGUUCAAUAGUGAAAGACGGUUUUGCUGUCACUUAUAGAUGGAUCCGCGCCGCAUUAGCUAGUUGGUAAGGUAACGGCUUACCAAGGCAACGAUGCGUAGCCGACCUGAGAGGGUGAUCGGCCACACUGGAACUGAGACACGGUCCAGACUCCUACGGGAGGCAGCAGUAGGGAAUCUUCCGCAAUGGGCGAAAGCCUGACGGAGCAAAGCCGCGUGAGUGAUGAAGGUCUUAGGAUCGUAAAACUCUGUUAGUAGGGAAGAACAAAUGUGUAAGUAACUAUGCACGUCUUGACGGUACCUAAUCAGAAAGCCACGGCUAACUACGUG